AGGCCACCAAGAAGGAGGUCAAGGACAUCUUUCGGCCGCUAUGACCGCACCCUCCUCGUCGCCGACCCCAGGCGCUGCGAGCCCAAGAAGUUUGGUGGGCGCGGAGGGGUCGGGCGAGAUAGGCCAACAAGUGCACUUGAAUGCUGGAUCUAGGCAAAUGCUUCCAUACUAGGAACAAUACUCUAAUGAAACAUCGAGUUGCUCCAGAACAAUAACAAUGCACAAGACGGAAUUUUCUGACCCAAAUCUUAAGCUGGCCAUCAGUUUUUAACUCAGGAGAGCUGCAUGUUAUAUUGAAAAGUAGGAAACGCCCAGAGGGGCGAAGGUAAAAUUUACAAG